AUAAAACUGCACCCUACUCAAACUCGAGAGAGUUUCUCUGGAUUUCACGUAGAAAAUGGGAAUAAUGCUUAUUGUGACAUAUCUAUACAUAUUUCUCAAUUGCUAAUCAUGAAGCAGGAGCCAGCAGCUGGUUGGAGCGCUGAUGAUUUACAUCAGAUCUACAUCUACAAGGCAGGCUAAAAGGACCAGUAUCAACACCGGACAAAAACUACUGACGUAGCGAGGAGAGAGGGGGCACACAGGAAAAACUCCCCCAGUGGAAUGAGAAAUGACAGUGAGGGUCAGGCUGAGUUCAUGUGCGUACCUCAAAGGAGCCGGGCAGGGUGCAGCAGCAGGGCAGCGGUCCUCACACUGGGAAGCAGGGUUUAAAGGAGGGGAGGCGGGGGCUGGGAGAGGAGCAGGAGGGAUGCAGGGAGAUGCAGGUGGGGUUGGCGGAGCUUCAGGAGUGUGCCUCUCCGGGGGAGUCGGAGGAGGCGUGGGAAAUUCUGUG
ensembl:lncRNA